GAUGAACGCUAGCGGGAGGCCUAACACAUGCAAGCCGAGCGGUAUUGUUUCUUCGGAAAUGAGAGAGCGGCGUACGGGUGCGUAACACGUGUGCAACCUGCCUUUAUCUGGGGGAUAGCCUUUCGAAAGGAAGAUUAAUACUCCAUAAUAUAUUGAACGGCAUCGUUUAAUAUUGAAAGCUCCGGCGGAUAGAGAUGGGCACGCGCAAGAUUAGCUAGUUGGUGAGGUAACGGCUCACCAAGGCGAUGAUCUCUAGGGGGCCUGAGAGGGUGAUCCCCCACACUGGUACUGAGACACGGACCAGACUCCUACGGGAGGCAGCAGUGAGGAAUAUUGGUCAAUGGGUGCAAGCCUGAACCAGCCAUCCCGUGUGAAGGACGACUGCCCUAUGGGUUGUAAACUUCUUUUGUAUAGGGAUAAACCUACCCUCGAGAGGGUAGCUGAAGGUACUAUACGAAUAAGCACCGGCUAACUCCGUG
rnacentral:rRNA from 1 species